UACAGAGGGUGCAAGCGUUGUUCGGAAUCAUUGGGCGUAAAGCGCACGUAGGCGGCUUUGCAAGUCGGGUGUGAAAGCCUGGGGCUCAACCCCAGAAGUGCAUUCGAAACUGCAGAGCUUGAGUCUUGGAGAGGGCAGUGGAAUUCCGAGUGUAGAGGUGAAAUUCGUAGAUAUUCGGAGGAACACCAGUGGCGAAGGCGACUGCCUGGACAAAGACUGACGCUGAGGUGCGAAAGCGUGGGGAGCAAACAGG
rnacentral:rRNA from 1 species